AGAAUUUUAAUGGUCGAACAGACCAACCCUCGAAGACUUCUGCAUCUUCCGGAUAUUCUGGUCCAACAUCGAGGUCACAAACCUUUUUUUCGAUUGGAACUCUUAAAAAAGAUAAUGCUGUUAUCCCUACGGUAACUAAUUCCUUUAAUCAUAAAUUUUGGAUCAAAACUUGUUAGUGAUAAAUUUUUAAAGAAGCUUUAUUUGUUCCUUAGUCGCCCCAACUAAAAUGAUUUAAUAAACUAUUUUUUAUUAAAUAUUAAUUCUGAUUUAUUAGUUUUUUUAAAGCUCGAUAGGGUCUUCUUGUCUUUUAAUUACAUUCAGGCUUCUUCACAUGAAGAUAAAAUUCUAUAAAAUUAAUAGGAGACAGUUACACUCUUGUUAAACCAUUCAUACUAGUCCUCAAUUACAGAACAAAUUAUUAUGCUACCUUUGCACGGUCAGGAUACCGCGGCCGUUAAAACAUCUCACCGGGCAGGUCAGACUCCACAUAUAUAGUGUGCGAGGAGCC
rnacentral:rRNA from 1 species